rnacentral:lncRNA from 1 species
UGGGCAUAGUUGUAACCAUACACCUUUGAUGAUUAUCCUCUUGCACACUCGUUUCCAACAAACAACCAAAAUAAGGUUUUUCAGCCUGAAUCCAUUUAAGAAGGGUUUGAUGCUUGCAUGUCAUGUUGAAUCCACACAUGUUCUAUGAAAAGAAAUACGUCAUGGAUUCCUACCAGAAGAUUUUUUAGAUGGUCCCUGUAAACCAGCAAUUUCUGAUCCUUAGCACGCACAACUUUGGGCUGAGAAGGCUUAUGAGAUGAUGCAUUAUCAAGCUUCCUCCCCCGAGAGGACACUUGCGAUGUCACUAUCUUCUUGCCACCCACUUUACUUUCAAGUAUCUCCCCCUCUUCAAUAUCCUUACCAACCUCGCCACCUU